ACACACCAAAUUGGUGUGUCUGGUCGACAGAAGCAAGAAAGGGGCGACCCCCAUUGUUCCAAAACCCUAAAGUCACAAUUUCUUGCAAUUGGAGGUUCAAAUCCUAACCAAAACGAAAUCCGAGCUUAGAAUUGUGUUCCUCAUCGCAAGAGGAUUAAGAGGCAAAGAGUCCGGUUCAUCUAGCGGACAAGCCGGAGGGAGUUCACGAGGAAAAGACGCGCUCUAAAAGUUCUCAGGUACCCAAGUAAGGAUGAAGAUCAAGCAAGCGAGUCGAACCGAACACACACAUUUUUAGAACGCUUCCGCAUCCAAACUUUUGUUUUAAAAACUAUGUAAUCUAAGGGUAAUUACCGUCUUGAAGGUGGUUUGUAACAGCAAUACAUGUAUGUUGUGUUAAUUUUGGGUUUAAACGAUGAAAGUUUUUGUUAAGUCAUCAUUUUGGCGUUAAA